rnacentral:lncRNA from 1 species
UAGGGAUGAAGAAAAGAAUUGCGGAAGAGAGAUGACAGACCAGCGUUGGGACCGGAGGAAUCGGCUCCCCGACCACAUUGUAUUUUAAAUACCAUCUACUAUACAUUCGAUCAGCAUAUGAAAACAACCUAAAUCCAAGAACGUACUUGGAAUAGAAAGUAGAUUUGGAGACAGGAAGAAUAAACAUACCUACGUAGUUGUGGGAAAUGAACAGCGAGAGGGUAGAACCUCCGUCAACUGCUGCGGCAAGUUGACACUGGCCGAGUGACACUGGAAUCGCCUCUGGAAGGAAGUGUUACCAAAUUUCUAAUCCAAGUGACACUGGAAUCGCCGCUGGUUGUUGAGAAGGAGAUUGGGGGAAACAAGAUUGAAGGAAAUGAGAUGGGGGAAACGAGAUUGGAGGAUGGGGGGGAAUGAGAUUGGUGAAAUAAUAUUGGG